UUCCGGUUGAUCCUGCCGGAGGUUACUGCUAUCGAGGUUCGACUAAGCCAUGCGAGUCGAAUGUAGCAAUACAUGGCGAACUGCUCAGUAACACGUGGACAACCUGCCCUUAGGUUGGGUAUAAACCCGGGAAACUGGGUAUAAUACCCGAUAGGUCUCGAUUGCUGGAAUGCAUCGAGAUUUAAAGCUCCGGCGCCUAAGGAUGGGUCUGCGGCCUAUCAGGUAGUAGUGGGUGUAGCGUACCUACUAGCCUACGACGGGUACGGGUUGUGAGAGCAAGAGCCCGGAGAUGGAUUCUGAGACACGAAUCCAGGCCCUACGGGGUGCAGCAGGCGCGAAAACUUUACAAUGCUGGCAACAGCGAUAAGGGAACCUCGAGUGCCAGGUUACAAAUCUGGCUGUCGAGAUGCCUAAAAAGCAUUUCAUAGCAAGGGCCGGGCAAGACCGGUGCCAGCCGCCGCGGUAACACCGGCGGCUCGAGUGGUAACCGUUAUUAUUGGGUCUAAAGGGUCUGUAGCCGGCCGGAUAAGUCUCUUGAGAAAUCUGGCAGCUUAACUGUCAGGCUUUCAGGAGAUACUGUCUGGCUCGAGGCCGGGAGAGGUGAGAGGUACUUCAGGGGUAGGGGUGAAAUCUUGUAAUCCUUGAAGGACCACCAGUGGCGAAGGCGUCUCACCAGAACGGACCUGACGGCAAGGGACGAAAGCUAGGGGCACGAACCGGAUUAGAUACCCGGGUAGUCCUAGCCGUAAACGAUACUCGCUAGGUGUCGGCCACGGUGCGACCGUUGUCGGUGCCGUAGGGAAGCCGUGAAGCGAGCCACCUGGGGAGUACGGCCGCAAGGCUGAAACUUAAAGGAAUUGGCGGGGGAGCACCACAACGGGUGGAGCUUGCGGUUUAAUUGGAUUCAACGCCGGGA
rnacentral:rRNA from 1 species